UUGAUUUUUGAAAAGAUAGUCUAUGACUCUCUUUUUUAAUUAGCUUUUUCAAUUAGCUUUUUGAGUUAUAAUAGGACUGUUUAAAAGAAGAUGGUUUGAAAUUAGCAGGAACUAUUAGAAAAUAAGUAAAGUGGGUCCUUUGGUUUUGGGGAUUAAAAAGCUUUUGGUCUGAGUAAUACAUGCUAGUGUAUGCGAACAGGUGAGGGUGAAAGAAAAAGUUUCUUUUUUUUUAUUGUAUUAGGAAAAGAAGAGGUUGUUUUCUUCUUUCCAAAGAUGCAUGGUUUAACCACAUUUUCACUGAAACAAGGGAAAACAUUGGCAGCAGUAAAGAAUUUUAUGCAAUAUACGAAAGUAAGACAUAGGCAGAACCUUUUAACCUGUCAAAUUAAGUGCCAGCAGACGCGGUGAAACUUAAGGGUUUGUUUUUUAGAAAAAGCAGAAAGCGUGUAAAGGUAAAACAUUUAAAAUAAAUAGAAUUUUUUUAGUAAUGGUGCAAUAUUAAAAGAAAAAAAAGAAUUUUUUAUGUGAAGACAAUUUAUUUUUUUUCUUUAACACGAAGGUUCUGGGAGCGAACAGGAUUAGAGACCCUGGUAGUCGAUACAGUAAAAGAAAGUCGCUUGAGUAGUACGGUCGCAAGAUUAAAAUUCAAAAAACUUGGCUGUUCAUUGUUAUUUAGAGGAGCGUGUUGCUUAAUUCGAUAGUCCGCGAGUUACCUUACCAAAACUAGCUUUUUCAGGUGUUGCAUGGCCGUCGUCAAUUUAUGUUUGAUACAAUAAAUUAAACCCUAGAAAGGUUGAAGUCAGGUAUUAUUGCCCUUAUGUUUUGGGGUUAAAUGCGCUACAUUUUUUUUUUAAUAAAAAAAAAGAGUUCGGAUUGUCUUUAAAAGAGGAUAAUUAAGUAGAAUUUAAUAGUAAUUGAAAAGUAGAGCGUUUCAAUGAAUUUGCCGCAAUGUUAGUACAAAUUGCCCGUCGCCUCUACUGAGGUAAACAAAGUAGAGUAAGUCGUAACAUAG
rnacentral:rRNA from 1 species